ensembl:lncRNA
GUUUUAUUGAGUUUUAUUUUGUAAUCAGCCUAAAAUACAAAGACAUUCAAGCAGUGCGAUGCAUGAGGAGUCUGCCAUGCAGACCAGCGAUCCUGAUCCUGUUGUCGGCCUUGGAUGAUGAGGUCCAGUUACCAGGAUAACUACUCUGCAGCUCACUGAUCCCAUCCUGCAGCUCAUCCAUGCCGUUCUCCUCUCAACAGACCAAAUCAAGAAAAAGGAAGCAGGAUGCUACUGUGGAUCUGCUGCAGUAUCUGGAGAGGUCAGAGGAACAGUUGAGGAGACACCAAGACCUGACCUCUGCCAUGCUCCAGAACAUCCAGAGACCAAGACCUGACCUCUGCCAUGCUCCAGAACAUCCAGAGACCAAGACCUGACCACUGCCAUGCUCCAGAACAUCCAGAGACCAAGACCUGACCACUGCUAUGCUCCAGAACAUCCAGAGGAUGGAUGAAAAUUCAAACACCUUGGUUGGACUGAUGGGACGUACGGUGUCAGUGCUGGAGAGACUGUCACAGAAAUAAAC